GAUGAACGCUGACAGAAUGCUUAACACAUGCAAGUCAACUUGAACUUCGGUUUGGGUGGCGGACGGGUGAGUAACGCGUAAAGAACUUGCCUCACAGAUAGGGACAACAUUUGGAAACGAAUGCUAAUACCUGAUAUUAUGAUUUUAGGGCAUCCUAGGAUUAUGAAAGCUAUAUGCGCUGUGAGAGAGCUUUGCGUCCCAUUAGCUAGUUGGAGAGGUAACGGCUCACCAAGGCGAUGAUGGGUAGCCGGCCUGAGAGGGUGAUCGGCCACAAGGGGACUGAGACACGGCCCUUACUCCUACGGGAGGCAGCAGUGGGGAAUAUUGGACAAUGGACCAAGAGUCUGAUCCAGCAAUUCUGUGUGCACGAUGAAGUUUUUCGGAAUGUAAAGUGCUUUCAGUUGGGAAGAAAAAAAUGACGGUUCCAACAGAAGAAGUGACGGCUAAAUACGUG
rnacentral:rRNA from 1 species